AUGGCAAUAGUCCAACGAUGGGGAAAACCGGAUUAUUUUAUCACGAUGACUUGCAAUCCCUAUUGGGAGGAGAUAACCCAUAAUCUGAUGCCUGGACAACUGCCACAAGACCGUCCAGACCUUGUGGCAAGAGUAUACAAGGCUAAACAAUGGGAUAUGAUGGACUUGCUAACUAAGGGUAAGCAUUUCGGAGAAGUCGCAACUUAUGUACAUGUCACGGAGUUUCAGAAACGAGGCCUCCCUCAUGAGCAUAUAAGGUGA
rnacentral:rRNA from 1 species